AUUGAACGCUGGCGGCAGGCCUAACACAUGCAAGUCGAACGGUAACAGGAAACAGCUUGCUGUUUCGCUGACGAGUGGCGGACGGGUGAGUAAUGUCUGGGAAACUGCCUGAUGGAGGGGGAUAACUACUGGAAACGGUAGCUAAUACCGCAUAACGUCGCAAGACCAAAGAGGGGGACCUUCGGGCCUCUUGCCAUCGGAUGUGCCCAGAUGGGAUUAGCUAGUAGGUGGGGUAACGGCUCACCUAGGCGACGACCCCUAGCUGGCCUGAGAGGAUGACCAGCCACACUGGAACUGAGACACGGUCCAGACUCCUACGGGAGGCAGCAGUGGGGAAUAUUGCACAAUGGGCGCAAGCCUGAUGCAGCCAUGCCGCGUGUAUGAAGAAGGCCUUCGGGUUGUAAAGUACUUUCAGCGGGGAGGAAGGGAGUAAAGUUAAUACCUUUACUCAUUGACGUUACCCGCAGAAGAAGCACCGGCUAACUCCGUG
rnacentral:rRNA from 1 species